GGGGGCCUAUACAUGCAGGUCGAGCGAACUGAUUAGAAGCUUGCUUCUAUGACGUUAGCGGCGGACGGGUGAGUAACACGUGGGCAACCUGCCUGUAAGACUGGGAUAACUUCGGGAAACCGAAGCUAAUACCGGAUAGGAUCUUCUCCUUCAUGGGAGAUGAUUGAAAGAUGGUUUCGGCUAUCACUUACAGAUGGGCCCGCGGUGCAUUAGCUAGUUGGUGAGGUAACGGCUCACCAAGGCAACGAUGCAUAGCCGACCUGAGAGGGUGAUCGGCCACACUGGGACUGAGACACGGCCCAGACUCCUACGGGAGGCAGCAGUAGGGAAUCUUCCGCAAUGGACGAAAGUCUGACGGAGCAACGCCGCGUGAGUGAUGAAGGCUUUCGGGUCGUAAAACUCUGUUGUUAGGGAAGAACAAGUACGAGAGUAACUGCUCGUACCUUGACGGUACCUAACCAGAAAGCCACGGCUAACUACGUGCCAGCAGCCGCGGUAAUACGUAGGUGGCAAGCGUUAUCCGGAAUUAUUGGGCGUAAAGCGCGCGCAGGCGGUUUCUUAAGUCUGAUGUGAAAGCCCACGGCUCAACCGUGGAGGGUCAUUGGAAACUGGGGAACUUGAGUGCAGAAGAGAAAAGCGGAAUUCCACGUGUAGCGGUGAAAUGCGUAGAGAUGUGGAGGAACACCAGUGGCGAAGGCGGCUUUUUGGUCUGUAACUGACGCUGAGGCGCGAAAGCGUGGGGAGCAAACAGGAUUAAACCGUGGUU
rnacentral:rRNA from 2 species